rnacentral:lncRNA from 1 species
AUUUAAUAUUUUUUUUUUAGUUUUUGGCGGACACAACAUCUUUAUUUGUACGUGGUGCUGAGGAUCGAACCCAGCGCCAUGCGCAUGCCAGGUGAGCAUGCUACUGCUUGAGCCACAUCCCCAGACCCCUCAAACACACCUUUUAUUUAAAAUAUAGAAAUGACUGGCUUACAAAGCCAGUUAUGUAAAAAAAAAAUUCAGACACUUUAAAAUAAAGUAAACAGAUCACUCAUAUUAUAUUUUCUACAAAAAUAUUUCAUUUACCAUUAUAUUUAGAAAAAUAUAAAAGAAUCAAAUUAUUUUACAUACAUAGAAAAGUUAACCUUAGAUAAAACAUAUAUACAUUUAUACAUAGUGUUCUAGAGUGCACAUGCACAUACAUAUUCUAAAAUAUACAUAAGAUUUCAACGACUUGGAGAAAAAUUCCAGGAAGUAUCUAGUAUUGAUAUUAUUUAAUAAACUUUCAUGAAUAAGUAAUUACAAAAUCGUGUCUAAACUUGUGAGUAAUAGUUUCAUAUGUUAUCUAUAUCCCAAGAAACUAAGUUUUCAGAGAUUUAUUAGAGGAUAAAUAAUCUGUCAUUCCUCACAGUCUUAUCAUGCAUUCACUACUUUUCUUAUUUUUAGCAUGGAUUCUCUAGUACAUUAAGACUUCUUUUUUCAUUUGUAUAUUUAGUUUUCCACUUCUACCUAUUUUGUUUUACUUUCUUAAUCACUCUUUGUAUUCUGUCUUUCUCUA